GACGAACGCUGGCGGCGUGCUUAACACAUGCAAGUCGAACGCUGAAGCUCAGCUUUUGUUUGGUGGAUGAGUGGCGCACGGGUGAGUAACACGUGAGUAACCUGCCCCCUUCUUUGGGAUAACGCCCGGAAACGGGUGCUAUUACUGGAUAUUCACUUUUCAUCGCCUGGGGGCUGGUGGAAAGGGCUUUUCUGGUGUGGGAUGGGCUCGCGGCCUAUCGGCUUGUUGUUGGGGUGAUGGCCUAACCAGGCUUUGACGGCUAGCCGGCGUGAGAGGGUGAACGGGAACAUAGGGACGGAGAUACGGCCCAGGGUAGGACGCGGGGGAGAAGUGGCGAAUAUGGCAGAAUGGGCGAAAGACUAAUGCAGCGACAGCGAGUGAGGGAUGGAGGCCGUAGGGUUGUGAAACUCUGUCGCUAAAGAUCAAGCCGCAACAAUGGUUGUGGUGAGGGUAGUGGGUAAAGAAGCGCCGGCUAACUACGUG
rnacentral:rRNA from 1 species